rnacentral:rRNA from 1 species
AACGAACGCUGGCGGCAUGCCUAACACAUGCAAGUCGAACGAGACCUUCGGGUCUAGUGGCGCACGAGUGCGUAACGCGUGGGAACCUGCCCUUAGGUUCGGAAUAACUCCCCGAAAGGGGUGCUAAUACCGGAUAAUGUCUUCGGACCAAAGAUUUAUCGCCUUUGGAUGGGCCCGCGUUGGAUUAGCUAGUUGGUAGGGUAAAAGCCUACCAAGGCGACGAUCCAUAGCUGGUCUGAGAGGAUGAUCAGCCACACUGGGACUGAGACACGGCCCAGACUCCUACGGGAGGUGGCAGUAGGGAAUAUUGGACAAUGCGCGAAAGCCUGAUCCAGCAAUGCCGCGUGAGUGAUGAAGGCCUUAGGGUUGUAAAGCUCUUUUAACCGGGAUGAUAAUGACAGUACCGGGAGAAUAAGCUCCGGCUAACUCCGUG